rnacentral:rRNA from 1 species
UACGAAGGGGGCUAGCGUUGUUCGGAAUUACUGGGCGUAAAGCGCGUGUAGGCGGGCCGUUAAGUCGGGGGUGAAAGCCCAGAGCUCAACUCUGGAACUGCCUUCGAUACUGGCGGCCUGGAGCAUGAUAGAGGCGAGUGGAAUUGCGAGUGUAGAGGUGAAAUUCGUAGAUAUUCGCAGGAACACCAGUGGCGAAGGCGGCUCGCUGGAUCAUUGCUGACGCUGAGACGAGAAAGCGUGGGGAGCAAACAGG